GACAUUAACCGAAAAGAUUCCUAAUAGCAAUGCUAGAUUAUUGGAAAAUAUACAAUCUUACGAAAAAGUACAACCUUACCUACUUAAUGACAGAAUAAAGCAAGAUAUUUCAAUCAAAAUACCGGAUGGUCAUAUGCAAGACGUAGCCAUUGUUCUCCCUGGAACGAAAACGCAUUUUAAAUUGGAUUUAUCCUUAGUUGGGAAAAAGUCAAAAACACUAAUGCCAUGGCACCGUUGCUGGUGAUGAAAAUUCUGAUGUUUCUUUGAGUACUUGUAAUGGAAUAGAGUAACUGAAUUAAAUCUAUAUGAUCAGUGAUUAGAAGACAACAAAUAAUGGCAUGGUGAUGUAAUGGAAAGUCAUAUUUUGUUCAAUACAGAAGAUCUAAAGAUAAAUGAAGUUACCAGUGCUAUGACAUAGUUAGAAUCCAACAACUCCUGUGAAAAAUAUAAAGCGCAUAUUUAAACGUUCAAAUGACUUCAAAACAAGGACGAGUUGUCAAUGGAGUAUAGACUUGCUUUGUGACUGUAGAAAUGAUUUUAAUUCGCCGAUAUAUAUUUUUCAGUUUAGAAGAGAUGUAUUGAGCGAAACAAAAUAUGUGGAGUUUUUCGUCGUAAACGAUCGUACGCAGGUAGAUCUUGUUCCCCAUUGGCGAACAAAUCAAACUUUUCAAAAAAAAAUAUGCAAAAUCAACUGA